CUGGAGACAGGCGCUGCAUGGCUGUCGUCAGCUCGUGUCGUGAGAUGUUGGGUUAAGUCCCGCAACGAGCGCAACCCUUGCCUUUAGUUGCCAGCAGUUCGGCUGGGCACUCUAAAGGGACUGCCGGUGUUAAACCGGAGGAAGGUGGGGAUGACGUCAAGUCCUCAUGGCCUUUAUGACCAGGGCUACACACGUACUACAAUGGCCGAUACAAAGGGCAGCGACACUGCGAGGUGAAGCCAAUCCCGUAAAAUCGGUCUCAGUCCGGAUUGGAGUCUGCAACUCGACUCCAUGAAGUUGGAAUCGCUAGUAAUCGUGGAUCAGCAUGCCACGGUGAAUACGUUCCCGGGCCUU
rnacentral:rRNA from 1 species